rnacentral:lncRNA from 1 species
AUUAUUUUUGCCCUUAAAUGAGUAAAAAGAGAAAAAUCUAUAAAAUGAAGGGAAAAAUGUGAGAGAAAAAAAUUAAGCAUAUUCUUCUCCAGCGGCUAGCGCGCCACCGCUUCACAAGAAUCUCCGGCAAUAUGCAUUUAGCACGCGGCAUUUACUUUUCUACUCCUAAAAACAUUAGCGAGUAAGAAAAUAUCAUUUGGCCUCGUGUGUUUACCGCCACUCCAAAUUUGCCUGAAUGUUUACAGGUUGUUUCUGUUCUGUUCUGUUCAAUUCAAUUUCAAUUUAAUGCACAGAACCAUCUAUCCGGCGCGGUUGUUCAGAACAAAGUACCAAUUUUCUCUUAAUUUCUCGUCCAAGCCAACACAAACUCGCACCCUGCCCCUGGACCUCCCAUCUUGCAUUGCAUCACUUCAAUCAUGUGCCCAAAGACAGGACCUUUCAGAAGGCAGAAAACUCCACUCCCACAUGAUUGUUAAUGGCAAUCUUGAGUCUCCUGUUUCUGCAACUAGCCUUAUCAAUAUGUACUCCAAGAGUGACUCCAUUGCUGAUGCUUUAUGUGUUUUUCAUGCAUCAACCGGUAUUCACAAUGUGUUCGUUUAUAACGCAAUUAUUGCAGGUUUUACUGUUAAUGACAUGGCGAAUGAGGCUUUUGAGUUUUAUUAUAAAAUGCGGUUAAUUGGUAUAGAACCUGAUAAGUUUACUUUCCCAUGUGCGGUUAAGGCUUGUCCAGAUACUGUAAGUUUGGAAAAGAUUCAUGGUCUGUUGUUUAAACUUGGAUUAGAAUUUGAUUUGUUCAUUGGUAGUGCAUUAGUGCAUUGCUACUUGAAGUUUGAUUUAGUUAAUGAGGCACUAGAAGUGUUUGAGGAAUUGCCCAACAGAGAUGAUGUUGUGCUUUGGAAUGCUAUGAUCAAUGGGUAUAUGCAGAUUGGGGAGUUCAAUAAUGCUUUGGAGAUUUUUAGGAGGAUGGGUGAAUUUAGAAUCAUUCCUAAUAGAUUUACCAUUACAGGAGCAUUAUCAGCAUUGUCUCUUGCUGGGGAUGUUUACAACGGUAAGUUAAUUCAUGGGUUUGUGAUAAAACUGCGGUAUGAUUGUGGUAUUGCUGUUUUAAAUGCUUUAAUUGAUAUGUAUGGGAAAUGUAGGCUUAAGAUGGACGCAUUGAAGAUUUUUGAGGACAUGAUUGAAAAGGAUAUAUAUUCAUGGAACUCAAUUAUAAGUGUCCAUGAACAAUGCGGUGAUCAUGAGAGAACUUUGAGUCUUUUCAAGAGGAUGUUUCGUGCUGGGGUUUGGCCAGAUUUGGUGAGUGUUACUGCUGUACUUCCUGCAUGCUCAAAUUUGGCCGCAUUGAUGCAUGGUAGGGAAAUUCAUGGGUACAUGAUUAUUAAUGGGUUGGGAAAGGAUGGAGGUACAUAUAUUGACAAUGCUAUAAUGGAUAUGUAUGCAAAAUGUGGCAGUAUGAGGGAAGCCCACUUAGUUUUUGAUACAAUGAGAUGUAGGGAUGUGGCUUCAUGGAACAUUAUGGUUAUGGGCUAUGGAAUGCAUGGGUUUGGCAACAAGGCACUAGAUUUAUUUUUUCGUAUGUGCAAGGCAGGGUUGAAGCCUGAUGAGGUCUCAUUUGUAGGGGUUUUGUCAGCUUGCAGCCAUGCAGGAUUUGUAAGCGAGGGUAGAGAAUUGCUUGCACAAAUGCAACCUCAAUACGGUGUCAUUCCAACUAUUGAACAUUAUUCUUGUGUGAUUGACAUGCUUGGUCGGGCUGGGCAGCUUGAGGAGGCUUAUCAGUUGUUGUUCAAAAUGACAGUUCCUGUUAAUCCAAUAGUGUGGAGGGCAUUCUUGUCUGCAUGUCGGCUUCAUGGGAAUGCUAAUUUGGCCGAGGUUGCUGCACAGAGGGUACUUGAGCUUGAACCAGAGCAUUGUGGAAGUUAUGUUUUGAUGUCGAAUAUUUUUGGAGCAGCUGGUCGAUUUGAAGAGGUGGCGGAAGUGAGACAUGCAAUGAGGCAACAAGAUGUGAGUAAGAGACCUGGUUGCAGCUGGAUUGAAUUGAACAAUGGCUUGCAUGUUUUUGUUACCGGUGAUCGGGCUCAUCCUGAAGAGUACUUUAUUUAUGCUGGACUAGAUUCUUUGACUGAACGUUUAUGUGAGCAUGGAUAUCUGUUGGAUGUCAUGGAAAGCAGUAAUUGAAAGUCUAUGAGCGGUUUCUGGUGAUUUAUGCUGGCAUUGCUAAGCAUGGUCAUUUCAUGCAUGUAAGAUACUUUGGUUGCUUUCCACCUUGCAGUCAAGCAAAUUAUAUCGCUGCUUCCCAAUGCAAAUAUUUUAAUUUUAGACCUGUUAAUAUGUAUUCAUUGUUUUAAAUUGUAGCUUAUUUUUAUUGUAAGUCUUUGCACUGCCUCAAUAGCAUCAAGGAUGACAUCUCUGGGAAGUUCCUUUGUGUGACCUGAUUAAGGGAGUCCUGAUGGUAGGCUAAUUCUUUCUCCUGACCUCGUUCACCGACUUUUUCCUUUGUUCUUAGUUUAUUUUAUUCUAUAAAUGAAUGCACAGACCCCUUCUUUAUUCUAUUUAUAUUUUCCUUUAGGUUUUACUUUUUGAGAGUUGGGGGGAGUGGUCCAAACACUGGUUGGCUCUAGGUUUCUCACUGUAUGCCACAUAGCACUAUGUUAAUGUUGUUCAAGCUUUCCCCUAAAUGUUUUUGCUCUUUACAUUUUUGUUAUGUAUUAAGGUUGUGGAAAAUUUACCAUGGAAAUGUCUUGUCUCUCUUCUGGGGCUAUUUUCUUCAGCCAUUUCUUUUACACAAUGGCCAAUGUUAUUAACAUUUUAUUGGGGUGUGUUUGGUAUUUGCAGGCGCUCGCUGUUGAACUGGUAUGUUUACCUUCUCCCCAUCCUCUCUUCCCUAUCAUCUUUGUUGAUUCUAUCUGCGAGGAGUUCUCCUUUUUUUUUUUUUUUUUUUUUAGAUCUUUCGAAAUAUGUUGAAUAGACAAAAGACUAGUUCCCAAGAUGUCUGCAUUUAGUGAGAAACCAC